UGGGGAAUUUUGGACAAUGGGCGCAAGCCUGAUCCAGCAAUGCCGCGUGCAGGAUGAAGGCCUUCGGGUUGUAAACUGCUUUUGUACGGAGCGAAAAAGUUUUUUUAAUACAAAGAACUCAUGACGGUACCGUAAGAAUAAGCACCGGCUAACUACGUGCCAGCAGCCGCGGUAAUACGUAGGGUGCGAGCGUUAAUCGGAAUUACUGGGCGUAAAGCGUGCGCAGGCGGUUUUGUAAGACAGAUGUGAAACCCCCGGGCUCAACCUGGGAACUGCAUAUGUGACUGCAAGGCUAGAGUACGGUAGAGGGGGAUGGAAUUCCGCGUGUAGCAGUGAAAUGCGUAGAUAUGCGGAGGAACACCGAUGGCGAAGGCAAUCCCCUGGACCUGUACUGACGCUCAUGCACGAAAGCGUGGGGAGCAAACAGG
rnacentral:rRNA from 1 species